UACUCUAAACGUAGGUUUAGAGGAAAAAGAUUGUUGUCAACAGUCCAGAACAGAUUUCUACAAGAAAUCUAGA
rnacentral:ncRNA from 1 species